rnacentral:rRNA from 1 species
UGAGGAACAUGACCUUCGGCGGGGGAUAGCCGGCCCAACGGCCGGGUAAUACCGCGUACGACCACAUGGGGACAUCCCUGAGUGGUGAAAGCAGCAAUGCGCCGAAAGAGUGCCUCGCGGCCUAUCAGCUAGUUGGUGGGGUAAUGGCUCACCAAGGCAACGACGGGUAGCUGGUCUGAGAGGAUGGCCAGCCACAUUGGGACUGAGACACGGCCCAGACCUCCGUAGGGACGG